rnacentral:rRNA from 1 species
GAUGAACGCUAGCGGCAGGCCUAAUACAUGCAAGUCGAACGGUGUCUUCGGACAUAGUGGCGCACGGGUGCGUAACACGUAUGCAACCUACCUUACAUUGGGGGAUAGCCUUUCGAAAGGGAGAUUAAUACCGCAUAAGACAGUAGCUGGGCAUCCAGCAGCUGUUAAAGAUUUAUCGAUGUAAGCUGGGCAUGCGUCCAAUUAGCUAGUUGGUGAGGUAACGGCUCACCAAGGCAAUGAUUGGUAGGGGAACUGAGAGGUCAACCCCCCACACUGGCACUGAGAUACGGGCCAGACUCCUACGGGAGGCAGCAGUAGGGAAUAUUGGGCAAUGGACGCAAGUCUGACCCAGCCAUGCCGCGUGCAGGAUGAAGGCGUUAUGCGUUGUAAACUGCUUUUAUACAGGAAGAAACGACUCUUGCGAGAGGCAUUGACGGUGCUGUAUGAAUAAGCACCGGCUAACUCCGUGCCAUCCGCCGCAGUAAAAC